CGGGGCGGGGAGGAGCCGCCCGGCCGCUGCGUGCGGGGGCUCUGCGCGCUCUUAAGAGACGGGGAGCGGCGGCUGGAGACAGUGUGUGCCUUCCUGUGUAUCCGAGGCUGGGCCAGCAAACACGUCUCUCGACGACUGUCCAACCUUUGAAACUUGGAGCUCCCGGCAGGUGCGGUUGGCACUGGUGGAGAUAUCAGGUAUGUCCUUUACAUAGAGUGUACCAAGAAGUUAUUCAAGAUACACAACGUGAGUAAGCAGUAAACUUUUACAUACAUAUCCACGGAAUCACUGAAUCUGUGAGGUGGCAAAAGGCCUCUGAGGUUAUUGAGUGGGAUCUUUGACUGAACACCACCAUAGCAACUAGACCAUGGCACUGAGCACCACAUCCAGUCUUUCCUUAAACACUUCCAGGGUCAUUGGCUGCACCACCUCCCUGGGCAGCCCAUUCCAAAGGCUGAUCACCGUUUUCUGUGAAGAAAUUGUCCUAAAACUUCCCCUGACACAACCUGGAACUAUGUGCUGUCCUGUCACUUGUUACCUGGGAGAAGAGGCCAAUCCCCCCCUGGCUGGCCCCUCUUUCAGGUGGUUGUAGAGUGAGAGGGUUACCUCUGAGCCUCUUCUACAGGCUGAACAACUCCUGCUCCCUCAAUCAUUCUUGUACUUGAGUGCAAGUACAUAAAAAUUUUCCUGGCUAAGAAGAGGUUUAUUAAAAAAGCCUAAGCCAAACACCAAACCCUGCCCAGGGAGAAAAACAUGUUAGGAUACCUGCAUGGUACAAAGGAUUACUGAGAUGCUUGUUUAUUACUAGUUGCAAAUGGAAGGAACAGUCCUUCAGCCAGGAUGUGGAAGAGAAUUCCUCCCCAAAUACUGAGACUUUCAGUGUCCCAGCUGCCAAAAACCAAAGCCACCUCCUACACCUUCCUGGAUGCGAGAAACCCCAACUGCCCGCUACCCAUCUGUCAAAAUUUAUAGAUCUGCUUGGACAAAUAUUAACAAUUCAGUCAUGCGCAAAGCCUGUGGCAUAUUGAAAAAAUUGGGAGAAGGAUAAAAUACAUUGAAUGUAAUGUGAAAAUAAGCUAUGUGGUGAGUAGUUUACUCUUUUUCCCUGUGUCUCCAUCUGCUUUCCUCUGUCUUCUGCUUAGCUUUGAAAGGCUUUGGGAUGUGUCUUUGUUCUCCAAAUGCUGAAUAUGAUGAUGGAUCACAAUACAUUUAUCUCUGUGC